CAAAGGAACCCGCUGAAAUGCACAAACUGCAGUUCUUAACGUGGUGGCUGCACGUGGAGGAUCUAAAAUUGCAACUGCUCCUGGGCCACUUUACACGUGGCGUCUGCCAACUCUGCUGCUCUGAAAACUCUGCUGAGUGACCACUGCCAGUCACUUUGGGACCAACUUCUCUUCUGAUACCAAUGGCCCUGAGGCUGUUUCCACACCACGUUCAUGACCAGAUCCUUCCACGAGCCCAUGCUCAGCUAGUCUCUUUGGCUGGAAGCGUAACUGAGACCACGUCCAGCCUGAGGAUCCGUCCCUUCCUUAAAAAUAGACUCCAUCACUCUCCACUGACUAUUCUACCAAACACCUCCUCUGGCUGCCUCUUCCCUCUUUAACACGCCCACCACCACACAGACAACAGGACAACCCAGAAUGGAUCUCCAAACUUGGUGAGUGAUGAACAGGGACAAAGAAGGAAUUUGGGAGUGAGGGACCCGAAAGUGCAGAGGCCAGGGAACAAGGCAGGCAGAUUCUAUACUCGCUAAUAACAGAAUUUGCAAAAUAAUAAGAAUUUUCAUCUCAUGUUACUGGAAAGCCAUUUCAACCAAAAUUUUCAUCUUCACUUAGUUGAUUUAAUAUUUUAUUCAAUGAAGGUGUAUUGAAUGAAAUAUUUUAACAAAUAGCAUGUCGGUGGAAUAAAAAUUCAGUAGCUUUUUGCCACGGGUAAAGAUAUGAACUUUAAUAGUCUGCCUAAUAUUUUUAGCUGGAAUUUAAGGCAGUAAAGCGCGACAGAUCAAAAAGUGAAAGCAGUGCCAUCCACUGAGGGCCUACAGUGUGUCAGGCCCUAAACUAAAAUAUUAAUACAUGACCUCACGUUUCCUUGUGUGUUCACAACAAUGACCUUCAUUUUAUAGAUGCAGAAGCUGAGGACUAAAAGGGUGAAGUAAAAUGCCCAUGAUAACAAAUCUCUCAAGGGAAAGAGCUGGGCUUUGCCCUUCGCUGUCUGAUUCCAAGACCAUGCUGCAAUCACAGGUGAACGUGGGGUGCUCCCUGUUUACCAUACGUCUCCCUUUGCAUCAACCUGUUGGUCAGUAGAACCAUCCCACGGGAGUGAAGUCCUUCCGUUCGGGCCCUGGUGUUGCCAAGCACUCCGUGGACACAGACGAAGCUGGAGGAGGUUGAACUGUGCACCCACCUCCCGUCUGUGGACUCUGUGAUAAAGGGUGUUUGCCAGGAGAGCUCGGUGUUCAGCCUUUGUUUGCUCAUGCCGGAACCAUGGGGUGCCCCACACUGCAGGCUG
rnacentral:lncRNA from 1 species